GAUGAACGCUGGCGGCGUGCCUAAUACAUGCAAGUCGAGCGAACAGACGAGAGUGCUUGCACUCUCUGACGUUAGCGGCGGACGGGUGAGUAACACGUGGGUAACCUACCUAUAAGACUGGGAUAACUUCGGGAAACCGGAGCUAAUACCGGAUAAUAUUUAGCUUCGCAUGACGCAAUAGUGAAAGACGGUUCUGCUGUCACUUAUAGAUGGACCCGCGGUGUAUUAGCUAGUUGGUGAGGUAACGGCUCACCAAGGCAACGAUACAUAGCCGACCUGAGAGGGUGAUCGGCCACACUGGGACUGAGACACGGCCCAGACUCCUACGGGAGGCAGCAGUAGGGAAUCUUCCGCAAUGGACGAAAGUCUGACGGAGCAAUGCCGCGUGAGUGAAGAAGGUUUUCGGAUCGUAAAACUCUGUUGUAAGGGAAGAACAAGUACGUUAGUAACUGAACGUACCUUGACGGUACCUUACCAGAAAGCCACGGCUAACUACGUG
rnacentral:rRNA from 1 species